rnacentral:lncRNA from 1 species
GGAGCAGAGAACGAGCGAGCGGCCUGAGCAACCCCAGCCCGUGACACCACCCGAACCACGCGCCACUACAGCUUUCCCGGCAUGGGGCGGGGGGCAAAUGCGGGGUGCUCUCCAUCCAGAGAGAGCUACGUUGUCCGCGGCUACGUGGACAACAGAGCGACCAUGUUCCCUCUGCAGUCACCCAGGGGGCCAUUGGAUAGAGGCACCGUCUGCCACCCUCCGGUCCUGUUCUGUCUCCCUGUUGGAAGUACUCAGCCAAGAGCCACUACUUUGCAGGGAAGUGAGCUCCGGAGUCACAGCCAUAGCCUCUCAGAGGAUGGAGUGGUGCAAAGAGAAAGAAAGAGUCGUCACCUGAAGCAAGGCCCCGCCCUUGCCUUCUCGGCUGAGGAUGGCUGCACUUUGUAUGUGCACUUGGGGAGGCGGAUUCUGGAAAUGUUGAAACUAACGAAAUACUGAUUAAUGCACCACUUUUGACAGUCAGAUUUGAAAUGGAAAAGCUGCCGUAGUGGCUCAGAGCCAUCAUUCAGAAGCGGAAAAUAGCCAAUUUCUCACAUUCGUGCGCCCGCUCCGAAGGAUUAAUUAUCAACACACGCAGAAGCAGCGGUACAGGACAGCUUGGCAGGGUUUCCAGGACGCGUGUCAUCGCUGCUUCCAGCCUGGCCCAUCACAGUUGAUUAGAAUUUUAAGGGAUUUGAGACCCUGGAACCUAUAUCAGUGCACAGAAGUCUAGAAUAGAUAGGUGAGCAAAAAAAGUGCCGUUUUUAUAUUUCUGGAUUCAAACCACUGCUGAUUUCCAUCACAUUGCUCUGGGGGUAAUACUGGCUCAACUGGAUGAGUUUCUGGAUGCAAACCGCAAGCACUUGAGCUCAGUGGCUUAGCACAAAGCAAACACCAGCACACAGAGUGUGUGUGUGUGGCGUGUUCCCAGCACCCAGUACUCCACCUUCUCCCCUCCAGGGCAAUCAUUCUCUGGUGGCGCCUAGGGGUUUGUCUCUUCUGUCUGUUGCUCUCUCUCCUGGGCUCUCAUUCUUUGUGCCCUGUUUUGCUGUCCCAUAGGCUGUCUUGCCUUGUUCGGGCAGUUCUGCAGGUGAGCCAGGCCUGCUUCCUGUGUACUGGGUUUGGUGUUAUUUUGUGUGUUUUCUUUUGUGAGUUCCAGGACAACUAAGGCUACACAGAGAAACCCUGUCUCAAAAAACAAACAAACAAAAAAAAACAACAACAAUGAUAAUAAUAAUAAUAAAAUUUUUAAAGAAAAAA